CNNNNNNAGNNCGUGAUCCUGGCUGGUGAUUCAGGAUCGAUUGAAUGGACAUCCGUUUGUUCGGUCGGUUUGAUUUUUCAUCAGCCACUAUUUAAUGGACGUCGCGACCCGUUCGGCGUUGUGUGUUUAAAGAAACGAAGUGAUAGUUCCCGAAAUUGGGGCUUUCGUUAGAUUGUCCUAGUUUUGGGAGUCUUCGUAUUCCAGCCAACUUGCUUGACGGUAAAAUUAAUGACGGCCGAAAUUUUCAACAUGUUGUUACAUUUCGGUGUCGGUCUGCGACGAUUCUUCGGGCCUCUUUCCGACCCGUCUUGAAACACGGACCAAGGAGUCUAACGUGUGCGCGAGUCACGGGGUUUCGCCGACCGAUUAGAAAUAACUGGUUGGCGUUAUAUAAACGAAACCCGAAUAAAGGCGUAAUGAAAGUGAAAUGUUAACACGUCGUUGUUCAUGUUACUUCGGUAAUAUGUUGCACGCGUGUUUUAACAAACGGGAAGAUAACGUCUCGAGUACACCUUCUCGCCAAUGUGUUGAGACCGAGCGUUCGCAUUCCCGGGGCGUCUUACGAGCUCGAUGUCAUGUCGGUUUAUUUUGUUCGUCUGGUCGUUUCGGCGGCUUGCGCGAUACUUGAUGUAAUUGUAGGCGUUGAUCUGAGGCGCACUCGUAGCGUACACGUUGGUACCCGAAAGAUGGUGAACUAUGCCUGGCUAGGAUGAAGUCAGGGGAAACCCUGAUGGAGGUCCGCAGGGAUUCUGACGUGCAAAUCGANCUCA
rnacentral:rRNA from 1 species